GGUACAUAUAAAGGAGAAUGGAUCAACUCUUCGAUGAAUUCUCACCUAUAUGGAAUAAAGACUUUGUAAAAAAGAGGAAGAUGGAUAAAGGUGAACUGCACCAUAUCUCUUAAUUGUGAGAACAUGGAAGACCGCAAUAAACUAAGACUCCACAAAGUGUAGAAAGCAAGUUCCAGUCUUGAAACAGUCGUUAGUGGAAAGGUUUAUCGACUUUUUAAAAAAAGAGGAUGUUAAGUAUGUGCAACUUUUUACAAAAUAUUUUCUUUUUCAUCUGCGCAGUGGCCCCCUUUAAGUAAAAGAGUUACAAAAUCAAACCGCAAUACGCAAAAACUAAACAAAUAUUAGUAACUAUCCAGUCAAGGCACUCCGCUAUCUUUUUAGAAUUGGCUCAAGUCCUAUUCGUGAGCAGACACUUUUACUCGCAGUAUUAACCGAUGAACUGAAAAACCUCAUUUUUCUUAAACGGUCACAAAUAGAUCUCAACUUCGAGGAACUGACACAGUCGAAACAAAAUCCUAGGCUUAUCUGGAAAAAAACCCGAUAUUGUGAUCUAUUUUUAAAAAUCGCGAAAUGAAAGGAGGGGAAGAGGUACUUAUCCAUAGGUGUCCAAAUUGUAAAUGGAAGUAGCACGUCGAAUAAUUUCAGUCAAUGAAGUGCCACUGGAUAAGAAAAGUUUGACCAUUCCAGCUAUAAAUUUUAAAAAUCACAAUAAUAACUUUGUUUUGCUCAAGUUAAAAACUCCUUUGAGGUGCACAGAACCAAACAAAAUUUUUUACAAGGGCGCGAGCUAUUCCAUUUAUAGAAAUCUGCCCCGUGAAUAAAGACCCCUUAACUACAACGGAUGUAGUUUAAACACCAUUUUAACAAGAGAAGAAACCAAAGAUUACUAAAAAAAUUUUUAAAUAAAAAAAUUUGGGCAAGCCCGUUGGUAUUCAGAGUGA